GUAUGGUGCAAGCGUUAUCCGGAUUUACUGGGUGUAAAGGGAGCGCAGGCGGUACGGCAAGUCUGAUGUGAAAGCCCGGGGCUCAACCCCGGUACUGCAUUGGAAACUGUCGGACUAGAGUGUCGGAGGGGUAAGUGGAAUUCCUAGUGUAGCGGUGAAAUGCGUAGAUAUCACGAAGAACUCCGAUUGCGAAGGCAGCUCACUGGAGCGCAACUGACGCUGAAGCUCGAAAGUGCGGGUAUCGAACAGGAUUAGAUACCCUGGUAGUCCGCACGGUAAACGAUGGAUGCCCGCUGUUGGUCUGAACAGGUCAGCGGCCAAGCGAAAGCAUUAAGCAUCCCACCUGGGGAGU
rnacentral:rRNA from 1 species